rnacentral:rRNA from 1 species
UACAGAGGGUGCGAGCGUUAAUCGGAAUUACUGGGCGUAAAGCGCGCGUAGGCGGCUUUGCAGGUCGGGGGUGAAAUCCCCAGGCUUAACCUGGGAACUGCAUUCGAGACUGCAUUGCUAGAGUAUGGGAGAGGGAAGUGGAAUUUCCGGUGUAGCGGUGAAAUGCGUAGAUAUCGGAAGGAACAUCAGUGGCGAAAGCGACUUCCUGGACCAAUACUGACGCUCAUGUGCGAAAGCGUGGGGAGCAAACAGG